UACAGAGGUCCCAAGCGUUGUUCGGAUUCACUGGGCGUAAAGGGUGCGUAGGCGGUCGGGUAAGUCUGAUGUGAAAUCUCACAGCUUAACUGUGAAACUGCAUUGGAUACUAUCCGGCUCGAGGAAUGGAGGGGAGACUGGAAUACUUGGUGUAGCAGUGAAAUGCGUAGAUAUCAAGUGGAACACCAGUGGCGAAGGCGAGUCUCUGGACAUUUCCUGACGCUGAGGCACGAAAGCCAGGGGAGCAAGCGGG
rnacentral:rRNA from 1 species